CUGAGGCCCAAGUCAGAUGGUUUCUCUGAGGUCACACAAGUAAAAGACAAGCUGGAAUUCAAACUCAGACCUGUCUGGCCCAAAGCCUGUGUUUUUAACAGGAUUGAAGCGCUCAGAAAGAGGCCUGGUUUUGCAAUGUAAAGACUCAACGUGGCUUUCUGACUUGGGCCGGGCAGAAUGGCUCCCGCAAAGAAGGGAGGCGAGAAGAAGGGCCAUUCUGCUAUCAUCGAAGUGGUGACUCAAGAAUACACCAUCAACAUUCACAAGCGCAUCCAUGGAGUGGGCUUCAAGAAGCAUGCCCCUCGGGCACUCAAAGAGAUCCGGAAAUUUGCCAUGAGGAGAUGGGAACUCCAGAUGUGCGCAUCGAUACCAGGCUCAACAAAGCUGUCUGGGCCAAAGGAAUAAGGAAUGUCCCAUACAGGAUUCCUGUGCGGUUGUCCAGGAAACGUAAUGAGGAUGAAGAUUCACCAAACAAGCUCUAUACUUUGGUUACCUAUGUACCUGUUACCACUUUCAAAAAUCUACAGACAGUCGGCCAGGCGCGGUGGCUCACGCCUGUAAUCCUAGCUCUCUGGGAGGGCGCCUGGCCGUCCCUCCUGGACCGCAGUGCCCGCUGA